rnacentral:rRNA from 1 species
ACGAAGGGUGCAAGCGUUACUCGGAAUUACUGGGCGUAAAGGGUGCGUAGGUGGUUUUUUAAGUCUGCUGUGAAAUCCCCGGGCUCAACCUGGGAAUGGCAGUGGAUACUGGAAAGCUAGAGUGCGGUAGAGGGUAGUGGAAUUCCUGGUGUAGCGGUGAAAUGCGCAGAUAUCAGGAGGAACACCAAUUGCGAAGGCAGCUCGCUGGGACGUGACUGACGCUGAGACGCGAAAGCGUGGGGAGCAAACAGGA